GGCUCUGUGGCACAGUGGAUAGCGCAUUGGACUUCUAAUUCAAAGGUUGUGGGUUUGAGUCCCACCAGAGUCA